CCAUUAACGCUGGCGGCGUGCCUAACACAUGCAAGUCGAACGAGAAAGGGUAGCAAUACCUGAGUAAAGUGGCGCACGGGUGAGUAACACGUGACUAACCUACCCUGGAGUGGGGGAUAACUGGGAGAAAUCCUAGCUAAUACCGCAUAAUACCCACGGGUCAAAGGAGCAAUUCGCUUCAGGAGGGGGUCGCGGUCGAUUAGUUAGUUGGCGGGGUAAUGGCCCACCAAGACUGUGAUCGAUAUCCGGCCUGAGAGGGCGCACGGACACACUGGAACUGAAACACGGUCCAGACUCCUACGGGAGGCAGCAGUGGGGAAUUUUGCGCAAUGGGGGAAACCCUGACGCAGCAACGCCGCGUGGAGGAUGAAGUCCUUCGGGACGUAAACUCCUUUCGAUCGGGACGAUAAUGACGGUACCGGAAGAAGAAGCCCCGGCUAACUUCGUGCCAGCAGCCGCGGUAAUACGAGGGGGGCGAGCGUUGUUCGGAAUUAUUGGGCGUAAAGGGUGCGUAGGCGGUUUGGUAAGUCUUGUGUGAAAUCUACAGGCUCAACUUGUAGUCUGCACGAGAAACUGCCGGGCUUGAGUGUGGGAGAAGUGAGUGGAAUUCCUGGUGUAGCGGUGAAAUGCGUAGAUAUUCAGGAGGAACACCUGGUGGCGAAAGCCGA
rnacentral:rRNA from 1 species